CAGCCGCCACGGGAAUACGUAGGGUGCGGGCGUUAAUCGGAAUUACUGGGCGUAAAGCGUGCGCAGGCGGUUGUGUAAGACAGGUGUGAAAUCCCCGGGCUUAACCUGGGAACUGCGCUUGUGACUGCACAGCUAGAGUAUGGCAGAGGGGGGUGGAAUUCCACGUGUAGCAGUGAAAUGCAUAGAGAUCGGGAGGAACAUCAGUGGCGUAGGCGGCCAUCUGGGACAACACUGACGCUGAGGCACGAAAGCGUGGGGAGCGAACAGGAUUAGAUACCCCCGUAGUCCCUGUCUCUUAUAC
rnacentral:rRNA from 1 species